AUUGAACGCUGGCGGCAGGCCUAACACAUGCAAGUCGAGCGGAUGAAGGGAGCUUGCUCCUGGAUUCAGCGGCGGACGGGUGAGUAAUGCCUAGGAAUCUGCCUGGUAGUGGGGGAUAACGUCCGGAAACGGGCGCUAAUACCGCAUACGUCCUGAGGGAGAAAGUGGGGGAUCUUCGGACUUCACGCUAUCAGAUGAGCCUAGGUCGGAUUAGCUAGUUGGUGGGGUAAAGGCCUACCAAGGCGACGAUCCGUAACUGGUCUGAGAGGAUGAUCAGUCACACUGGAACUGAGACACGGUCCAGACUCCUACGGGAGGCAGCAGUGGGGAAUAUUGGACAAUGGGCGAAAGCCUGAUCCAGCCAUGCCGCGUGUGUGAAGAAGGUCUUCGGAUUGUAAAGCACUUUAAGUUGGAAGGAAGGGCAGUAAGUUAAUACCUUGCUGUUUUGACGUUACCAACAGAAUAAGCACCGGCUAACUUCGUG
rnacentral:rRNA from 1 species